rnacentral:rRNA from 1 species
CCUACGGGAGGCAGCAGUGAGGAAUAUUGGUCAAUGGACGCAAGUCUGAACCAGCCAUGCCGCGUGCAGGAUGACGGCUCUAUGAGUUGUAAACUGCUUUUGUACGAGGGUAAACCCCGAUACGUGUAUCGGGUUGAAAGUAUCGUACGACUAAGGAUCGGCUAACUCCGUGCCAGCAGCCGCGGUAAUCCGGAGGAUCCGAGCGUUAUCCGGAUUUAUUGGGUUUAAAGGGUGCGUAGGCGGUUUGAUAAGUUAGAGGUGAAAUGUCGGGGCUCAACCCCGAAACUGCCGUUAAUACUGUCGGACUAGAGAAUAGUUGCGGUAGGCGGAAUGUAUGGUGUAGCGGUGAAAUGCAUAGAGAUCAUACAGAACACCGAUUGCGAAGGCAGCUUACCAAACUAUAUCUGACGUUGAGGCACGAAAGCGUGGGUAGCAAACAGGAUUAGAUACCCGUGUAGUC